rnacentral:rRNA from 1 species
AGAACUAACAAGGAUUCCCCUAGUAACGGCGAGUGAAGCGGGAAGAGCUCAAAUUUGAAAUCUGGUAGCCUUCGGUUGCCCGAGUUGUAAUCUAGAGAAGUGUUUUCCGCGUUGGCCCAUGUACAAGUCCCUUGGAACAGGGCGUCAUAGAGGGUGAGAAUCCCGUCCUUGACAUGGACCCCCAAUGCUUUGUGAUACACUUUCAACGAGUCGAGUUGUUUGGGAAUGCAGCUCAAAAUGGGUGGUGAAUUCCAUCUAAAGCUAAAUAUUGGCGAGAGACCGAUAGCGAACAAGUACCGUGAGGGAAAGAUGAAAAGCACUUUGGAAAGAGAGUUAAACAGUACGUGAAAUUGUUGAAAGGGAAACGAUUGAAGUCAGUCAUGCUCUUUGGAUUAAGCCGUUUGCGGUGUAUUUCAUUGAGCGGGGUCAACAUCAGUUUUGAUCGCUGGAAAAGGGCAGGAGGAAGGUAGCACUCUCGGGUGAACUUAUAGCCUCUUGUCGUAUACAGUGAUUGGGAUGAGGAACGCAGCAUGCCUUUUGGCCGGGAUUCGUCCACGUAC